GGGACGGUGCAGAGAGAACCAAAGAGCUGUGACAGGUGUGAGGGAGCCCUGCCCGCCCCACGGGCACAGCUGGUGACACGGUGCCACAGGUCCCGGGGCCGGGGCAGUGACACCGAGGAAAUCGCUCUGUUCUUCUCAAAAGCAACGUGCCCCGAGCACGUUCUGGCCUGGCUAAGUCCCCCCGUGUCUGUCAGAGCUUGACGAGCACGGACACUGCAGCCUCCUCGAGCCUGUGGAACUGGACCACAGCUAAUGCCUGCACAAUGCAAACCAAGACUGGAACGGUUGUUUCCUUUGAUGUGUGUUACUAAACACACAAAAAGGAUAUUUUCCCUGGGAGCGGAACUUCUUUAAAAAGACCUGUUGGUGCUCUGGCUUUGCUAAGGACCAAAGCCACUUCUGAGCCCAGACGAAAGGAGGAUGGUGUGAUGGGUCUCUUCUAAGACAGAAGAAAGGAAAAUUCCUUUUUCCUAUUUUCAGCAGCUGCUAAUCUUGUGGAGCGUGAAAGGCACAUUGAUGAAGAGGCUCCAGAAUGACAGGCUCACUCCCGAUGGUCAGAAAGCUCAUCUGAAUCCAAAGGUGUUUCUUCUAGGAAUAAACCCAAGACUUAACCAAAACAAUGUGUGUGAACUCACUGUUACUCACAACACGUCACUGCAUUUGUGAUGUACAACUGCCAAUUCCAAGGUUCAGCAAAACCAGGGGCACUGGCUCCAGACAGGAAACACGUGGCCACCCAGGGGGUUGCAGUGCUGGAGCCCCAGUUAUCCCAGGACAGCAUCACACAGCUCCAGGGGGACUGACACAGGUGCCAAGGGUCAGCCUUUGCUGCAGGCAGCAGUGCCAGGGAGCAGCUGCCCCGCUGUGCCCCACACACUGCCCCUGCAGCCCCUCAGCCUUUGCUGAGCCAGGGGUCUGGCUUCCCUUUUGUGCCUGCUCCCAGCACUCCAGUGGCACUAAAAAAGUAACAAUUAUUUUGCCCUAAUAUACACCCAUAAGCCAGUUAGAGGAGAAGAAACUGAAAUAUGAGGUAAAUUAAAGUUUCCAACUAAGGAGAUUUAACAGUAAGUCACCAUAAAAUUUGGAUAAUUUAUUUUUUCAAUUCUGCAGCAACUUUCUCCAAUUCAUUUGGACUAGCUAUUAGAAAUUAUGUCUCAAAAAUUAAAGAAAAUGUCUAUUGACCACUAUAUCAAAUUCUAAUUUUAGCCAGAAAAAAAAAAGAAUAAUUAGGCUGUGAUUUAUUCCGGCAGUCAACUUACAUUAACAAUUUUCCCCCAUGUUUAUGUAAUUCUGGCAAAAUCAAAUAAUAUAUACGGUGCUCAUAAGUGCUGAGCUAGAUUUAGUAAAGACAAUUUCCUACACUAUAUCCAGACAUUUGUCUUUGCUUUCUAUUCUAAUAAGACAAUCGAGUUAUUCCAUGUAAGGAAGGAGUAUGAUUGUCAGCCGUGGUCGCCUCAGUUGAAAUUUUAGUGCAGUCUUCAAUGAGGGUCAUGGAAGGAUUCUUUUUUUUAAUUUUCUUUAAGCUGUCAUCCUCCUGUAACAAGCUGUAUAGCCUGGCUGCUCUCUGUGGAUGCUUUAGCCCACGUCCAACCCCCCUCCCCUGCUAGUAUAGGAAAUCCAGCUAUUCCCCAACGAGAAAGUGUAAAUCCUGCGAAGCCCCAGAGCCGGGAGCCCUGGUGCAGUGUUGGCAGCCAACUGGCUCUGCUCCCAGGGCUGCACAGCUCCCAGCUCAGCACUGGCCAGGGAACCCGGCACCACAGAGCACAACCUGAGCUCAGGAUCGGAU